rnacentral:rRNA from 1 species
GCUCAGUAACACGUGGAUAACCUGCCCUUGGGACCGGGAUAACCCCGGGAAACUGGGGAUAAUACCGGAUAACGCAUAUCUGCUGGAAUGCUUUAUGCGUAAAAUGGAUUUGUCUGCCCAAGGAUGGGUCUGCGGCCUAUCAGGUAGUAGUGGGUGUAAUGUACCUACUAGCCUACGACGGGUACGGGUUGUGAGARCAAGAGCCCGGAGAUGGAUUCUGAGACAUGAAUCCAGGCCCUACGGGGCGCAGCAGGCGCGAAAACUUUACAAUGCGGGAAACCGUGAUAAGGGGACACCGARUGCCAGCAUCAUAUGUUGGCUGUCCAGAUGUGUAAAAUACAUCUGUUAGCAAGGGCCGGGCAAGACCGGUGCCAGCCGCCGCGGUAACACCGGCGGCCCGAGUGGUGAUCGUGAUUAUUGGGUCUAAAGGGUCCGUAGCCGGUUUGGUCAGUCCUCCGGGAAAUCUGACGGCUCAACCGUUAGGCUUUCGGUGGAUACUGCCAGACUUGGAACCGGGAGAGGUAAGAGGUACUACAGGGGUAGGAGUGAAAUCUUGUAAUCCCUGUGAGACCACCUGUGGCGAAGGCGUCUUACCAGAACGGGUUCGACGGUGAGGGACGAAAGCUGGGGGCACG